AGUGAACGCUGGCGGUAGGCCUAACACAUGCAAGUCGAACGGCAGCACAGUAAGAGCUUGCUCUUACGGGUGGCGAGUGGCGGACGGGUGAGGAAUACAUCGGAAUCUACUUUUUCGUGGGGGAUAAUGUAGGGAAACUUACGCUAAUACCGCAUACGACCUACGGGUGAAAGCAGGGGAUCUUCGGACCUUGCGCGAUUGAAUGAGCCGAUGUCGGAUUAGCUAGUUGGCGGGGUAAAGGCCCACCAAGGCGACGAUCCGUAGCUGGUCUGAGAGGAUGAGCAGCCACACUGGAACUGAGACACGGGCCAGACUCCUACGGGAGGCGGCAGUGGGGAAUAUUGGACAAUGGGCGAAAGCCUGAUCCAGCCAUACCGCGUGGGUGAAGAAGGCCUUCGGGUUGUAAAGCCCUUUUGUUGGGAAAGAAAAGCAGCAGGUUAAUACCCCGCUGUUCUGACGGUACCCAAAGAAUAAGCACCGGCUAACUUCGU
rnacentral:rRNA from 1 species